AGAAGAUCCCACAUGCCGAGGAGUAACUAAGCUUGUGCACCACGACUGUUAAGCCUGUUCUCCACAACCCGGGAGCUGCAGCGACUGAGCCUGUGUGCUACGUCUACUGAAGCCCGAGUACCCGAGAGCCCGUGUCCGAAACAAGAGAAGCCACCGCCAUGAGGAGCCCUUAUUUUGAAACUAGAGAGUAGUCCCUGCUUUCUGCAACUAGAGAAGACUUGUGCAGCAACAAAGACCCACACAGCCAAAAGGACUUGAGGCUGGAGGUGGAGUAACCACUUUGAGGCCUUGAAGAAAUGUUCCCCAGUAAAGAGAAGGAAGCAGAAGAACAUUCUAUCUGAGAGGCUGGGCAUCUUCCACUGGCUUCAGAGGCUGAAUCUGGGACCAAUAAAUGGAAACUUCAAUAAAGAAGGUUCUCUGUGAGCCCGAACUGCAGUUUCUUCGGCUUCAGGAUGCCCAAGUGCAGGGUCAAGUUCAAGGGUCUAGUGCUCAGUAAGCACCGUUACUGACUGUGGGGUAGCGCCUUGGGCCGCACGGGUGCCCACAAUCUCUGGGCAAACCUGUCAGAGUUGAGACUCCAAGGCUGUGUGUGGUUUGGUUUCUGGAAUGGACUGGAACAUUCCAUGUCUGCGAGUGGCCCUUCUUCCUGCAGCAAUCUUGCGUCAUUCUCCCCCCUGAGAGGGAAGUGAUUACACAGCAUACCUGUGGCUGAUGCUGGGCUGUUAAGAGCCCCGUAAAACUAAGGUAAAACUAAGGCAUAACUUGCCUGUUAGGCCACGCGCCUGAAUGACUCUUUGCAAACAUUUGCUGCGGGCUGAUUAAGAGAAAUAUCCUUACUGUUUUGAAUCAAAUUCCUGUUAAAAGCAGAGGCUCAAGUUUCUUUCCCUUGGUUUCUCCCUGCCCCUGGCCCCUGGUCGCUUGUUAAACACUCCUCCCCACUCCCCUCCCCCACACAGCCUGCCUGGGGGCCACAUCCUUUUUUACAGGACUUCAGGACUUCAGUGGCUCCUAAGGGCUUACAUUCUCUCUCUUGCUUGCUGUAGGCUGCUGGGGGAGGGGGUCUGGGAGGGA
ensembl:lncRNA